AUUCCAGCUCCUAUAGCGUAUAUUAAAGUUGUUGCAGUUAAAAAGCUCGUAGUUGAAUUUCUGUACAGUCCCGGUUCUGGCUUCGGUCAAGCCGUGGAUUGUGCAUCCGCUUGCAAAUCUAGCUCGGCCUUCACUGGUCGACUAGGGGAGUAAGCCCUUUACUUUGAAAAAAUUAGAGUGUUUCAGGCAGGCAAUGGCUCGAAUACAUUAGCAUGGAAUAAUGGAAUAGGACUUUUGUCCAUUUGGUUGGUUAUUGGACAUGAGUAAUGAUUAAAAGGGACAGUUGGGGGCAUUAGUAUUUAAUAGUCAGAGGUGAAAUUCUUGGAUUUAUUAAAGACUAACUUAUGCGAAAGCAUUUGCCAAGGAUGUUUUCAUUA
rnacentral:rRNA from 1 species